rnacentral:rRNA from 1 species
AGAGUGAACGCUGGCGGCAGGCCUAAUACAUGCAAGUCGAACGGCAGCACAGCAGAGCUUGCUCUGUGGGUGGCGAGUGGCGGACGGGUGAGGAAUACAUGGGAAUCUGCCCAGUCGUGGGGGAUAACGUAGGGAAACUUACGCUAAUACCGCAUGCGCCCUUCGGGGGAAAGCCGGGGACCUUCGGGCCUGGCGCGAUUGGAUGAGCCCAUGUCGGAUUAGCUAGUUGGCGGGUAAAGCCCACCAAGGCGACGAUCCGUAGCUGGUCUGAGAGGAUGAUCAGCCACACUGGAACUGAGACACGGUCAGACUCCUACGGGAGGCAGCAAGUAGGGAAUAUUGGACAAGUGGGCGCGAAGCCUGAUCCAGCCAUGCCGCGUGUGUGAAGAGGCCUUGGUAGUAAGCACGUUUGUACGGAAAGAAAGCGCCGGUAACACCUGUGCUGACGACGAGAAUAGCACGCUAACUGU